rnacentral:rRNA from 1 species
AGUGAACGCUGGCGGUAGGCCUAACACAUGCAAGUCGAACGGCAGCACAGUAGGAGCUUGCUCUUACGGGUGGCGAGUGGCGGACGGGUGAGGAAUACAUCGGAAUCUACUUUUUCGUGGGGGAUAACGUAGGGAAACUUACGCUAAUACCGCAUACGACCUACGGGUGAAAGCAGGGGAUCUUCGGACCUUGCGCGAUUGAAUGAGCCGAUGUCGGAUUAGCUAGUUGGCGGGGUAAAGGCCCACCAAGGCGACGAUCCGUAGCUGGUCUGAGAGGAUGAUCAGCCACACUGGAACUGAGACACGGUCCAGACUCCUACGGGAGGCAGCAGUGGGGAAUAUUGGACAAUGGGCGCAAGCCUGAUCCAGCCAUACCGCGUGGGUGAAGAAGGCCUUCGGGUUGUAAAGCCCUUUUGUUGGGAAAGAAAAGCAGCAGGUUAAUACCCCGCCGUUCUGACGGUACCCAAAGAAUAAGCACCGGCUAACUUCGUG